CAUCGCAUCCCCUCUCUUCUACCUCCGUCUCUCCUCCUUGCAGUUGCAGAGCGAUGGCAAGGAACUCCGAGAGGAGGAGGGUGAAAUGGUCACUAUGAUGUUGGCUCGACUCACUCAGACCACGCCGGCCGGCCGGCCGGAGCCAUCCGCGGCGGUGGUUCUGAUUGAGCCGUGCCAAUAUCUUAGUGCUCUUUCAUGCAUGCAUGUGCCCGUUCCUUGUGCGCCGCCGUGCCUAGCUAGCUCCUCCGCCAUGGCGCCAGCCGGCCAGUACACCGUCCUAACCUGCGCUACAGGUAUGAACACGUACGUAUCGGCCCGCACAUUUGUCAUGCGUUACUAACCCAGCCCCUAGCAUGCAUGUUCACUGCAUGCAUCGUGAAACAUGCAUGCUGUGUGUUGAUCGGAUCUUGUGGCUCCUCCAGGUUUGCCUUGUGUGCAUGCGAGCUAUGUGUUCAUCCUCUGGACGUGCAAGCUAGGCUGGUGAUUUGCCGCCGAUAGAGAGGUCACUCCACUGAUCUACAUGCAGGGUUAACUCCCAAGAAGGGUUGGAGUAAGGCACAGAGAAAUGUACAAAACUUCACCGCUUCUUCAUGCACCGCCCCAGACAAGUUCAGUUUGAACAUGCAUGUAGUGUGUGUGACAUGCUUGCACGUCUACGUGCUCCAAUGUUUUGUAUACAGUUAUACACAACAUUGUCUUUCAUAAAAGAUGGUACUCCUGAGUGUAUGUUCAUGGAAAACUUACCAAAUCGUUGCUUUAACCAUUUAUUUGGGGCGGCAUGUGCAUACAAAACGUGUACUCUAAAUGCACUAUGGGGCAUUUCUGUUGCUUAUUCA